CUCAGAAACUCAGAGGGAAACAUGAGUUUAUCCCAGAAGCGUGGGUGACAGGUGGGACAUUGUGUCCAGAACCCCAAGGAAGAUCCUACUGAAUCUGAAACUUUCAUUUCAGAUUUCCAUUCCUUCCAUCUCGCUGAUUUCACUCCCAUCUUUAUCUUGUUUCUGUCACGUCAGUUACUUAACCUUGAUUAGAGGAGUUGAUAGAACACAGUCUCGGGUGGGUUCUGCCUGGUUUCCCAGCCCAUAACAAGUGCUGCUUCCUUCCUCUGAGCAGAUUGUAUUGUGUCUGUCCAGAUUACAGACAAAAUACCUGUGUGGUCCCUUCUGUUUCUGUCAUUUAUGAGUUUAGGUCGCCUCUCGCCAACGUGUUCCUCCAAAGAACUAGCCUCCUCUCAGGGUUCUAAUCCCCUGUGGCAUUCAGCACUGGGACAAGCACAUGGCAGACACUUACUCAACACUUGUUGCUUGGUUGUUCUCAAUCUUUAAUACCCCAGGGGAAAGGGGUUUCGCAGCCUCACCAGUUGCCAAAUCCUAAAUCUAAACUCAUUUAGAAAGAGGUUGUGAUAGCAAAACUAAAGCCUGCAUUUUGCAUACUGUCUCUUAUUCAAUUUCAAAACAACUCUGUAGUUUAAUUGGUCAAUUUCCACCUGCGGGCCUCCUGGUUAGCGCUGUAUUGCUCUCCUGAUGUCACCACUAAAGCUAUUCCUACAGGUUUCCCAUAAAAAUGACUGUUAUUUGUGUAGCACUUAGUCACUUACGAAGUGAUUUCCCAGGUAUUUUUACUUCGUGCAUCGCCCUCUGCGGCUGGCGGUUCAGGUACCUCAAAGGUCUUCAGUCGCGGGGAGCACGCUUGGCUCCCGGCCCCGACGCUGCUCUGGAAGCUACAGCGUGUCCGCGGCGUGGUCUGCCAGCCUGCUCAGCCUCGCCAGCUCCAGCUCCAGCCCUAUUUUACCCCACAGGCUUCUGCCCUCAAAAAAUGUUGUUGCUCCUAUUAUCCUGUCUUCACAGCUGCUUCUCAAAGGACCCCCUCUCUCCAGCCUGGCUCUGGGGGCCCCUUCUCUGGGUUUCCAGAGCAAUCCAGAUCUCUCUCCAUCGGAGGACUGACCAUACCACCUUGUGCCAUCUCCGUGGGUCUCCUCCUGAGACCUGAACCACUAACCUGAAUGUAAAGAGAUGAAAGCUAGUCGAGUGCUGGAAGUUCUAGUAGGGAGUGGGUCCCUGCACCGGGGAGCUGGCGAAGGUCAAAGGGCUUCCCAGGGGCAGAUGCAUUCAGCUGUGUCUUGAGGGAACGGCAGAAUCCAGGUAAAGAGAAUGGUGGCCAGCAUCAGAGGCAGAGGGAACGGCAUGAGAAAAAAUGAUGGUCUUUUGGAGCCUAAUGAAUAUCGGUAUGGCUGGAAUAAUUCGGUGAAUCCCAUCAUCCCCUCCGUGCCUCAAUCUCCUCACUGCUUGUCCCUUGGCUCAGGUGGAAGACCCUGUGGGCAAAGCAUCCCCAGAUGGGAACCAAAACUCUGCCCUCCAGCUGCCAGGAACGCCCUGAGCCAGCAAGACCCUGCCCGCCUGUGACGGACUCUGCCCAUGAUUGAUUGAACCUUCACUGCCUCCCUGCAGCGGCAAGUGACCAGACCUGGCCAGUUUGGGACCCUGGAGUCAGGUGUUCUUGCAUCCUUUGUAUCCCUGAGCACCAGCUACUGUUGGUAGAUGAUGCUGUUCGGCAGACAUUCUGAGCCCUGGAGGAAAGAUUGCAGCUGCCCUGUGGCCCAGAUAAUGCAAUAUCAGGGUGAGCAAGGACAUCUUAGAACAUUCUGAUCUCCUCCCCUGAGACCAAUUAAAAUCUGUAGGCAUCUUU